rnacentral:lncRNA from 1 species
AAAUACCAAUGUUUGGAGGGUUUAAAUGCAUUUGUUCCACUCUUCUAAGGAACGGAGUUUGAUUCAAAAUGGAAAAUGAAAUUGGAAUGAGAAUCAUAAUAGAUACGAAUCAAAUAUAGAAUUGUGAUGUCCCAACUUCCCAGAGGAUCAUCCAUUCUAGAACUACUCCCGUCUUAGCACGCUUAAUUCUCUUAACUUCUUGGGCCUAGCCAAUGCCCAAAAUAUUUAAGCCGGAUUAAAAGUUUUAGCCAUAUUAUAUCUUAUAUAUAGAACUAACUGGGGCCUCAUAUUUUCCCCCCCUUAAGCCGCGACGUUCUCGUCAAGCUCAAACUCAUAAGUAUUAGGUGAUGUGAGACUUGUCUCAUUAGCUUAAAUCGACCUUAUGGUAAGCUGUGCUAGGGGGACACCCAUUGUAGGACUACGCCCGUCCUAACAUGCUUAACUCUCUUAACCUCCUGUGCCUAUCCACCGCCCAAGAUAUUUAAGCUGGGUUAAGAGUUAUAGCCCUAUUAUAUCUUAUAUAUAAGACUACUUGGGGUCUCACAAGAAUGAUACAACCUCCUAAUAUAUUUGGUUCAGAAUAACAAUCGAAAUCGGUACGGUUGAUUUAUAUUUAAAAAAUUUUGAUUAUCAAAAAAUAAUUUAAAAAAAUUGAAAUAAAAUAUGAAAUAUAAAAAUAAUUUAAAAUUAGUUUGCACCUCAAAAUAAAAAAUUAAAUUUGUAAUUUAAAUUCAAACUAAAAGUUAAAUAUUAAAAAUUUACAUCAACAUAUAAAACUAAUUAUUGAGUUGAUUCAAACUCAAACUUACAACUAAAUUUAAAUUUAAAUAUAUAGAUCAAAUUCAAAAUUCUUAAUUGAAUUUAUAUUUUAAUUUAAUUUUUAAAUCAAAAUCUAGAAUUACAAAUUGAAUUUCUAAAUUUAAUUUUAUAUGUUAAUUAAAAAUUAAAGUCAAAAUUAAAUUUAAUUUUAAAUAAAAAUAUAAAAUAUAAUUAAGAUAUUUUUGUAAAGUGU